CAAUUUAAACAACGAAGAGUUUGAUCCUGGCUCAGGAUGAACGCUAGCGACAGGCUUAACACAUGCAAGUCGAGGGGCAGCGGGGUGUAGCAAUACACCGCCGGCGACCGGCGCACGGGUGAGUAACGCGUAUGCAACUUGCCUAUCAGAGGGGGAUAACCCGGCGAAAGUCGGACUAAUACCGCAUGAAGCAGGGGUCCCGCAUGGGGAUAUUUGCUAAAGAUUCAUCGCUGAUAGAUAGGCAUGCGUUCCAUUAGGCAGUUGGCGGGGUAACG
rnacentral:rRNA from 1 species